GUCCUGAUUUUUUAGGAUAUCAAGAAAAGAGAGGAUAAGCGCCAAGACAGAGGGCAAUAGACUGCCCCUGUGCCCUUCAUACUGAAACCUUCCUAGAUUACUGAGAAUGGUCCUAAGAAAUCGGGUCAGAGGAUUACUAAUAUAUUUACAUAUAUAUAUUUUUUACCUCAUUAGCUGGUCAACCCAGGAGGCAAACAUUGCCACCCGUGCCCAAGCAACUGCUCCAAGGAGCUGACGGCGGUUGCCUGCAUCGAGUUCCCCGCCGGCGGCUCCUUCUGGCCGGACACCCUGUGCCAAAGAGCGCCCGGGGAAGCAGACAGCAAUAGGGGAGUACACAGAUGUCAUGGAUGCACAGGCAUGAUUGUAAUCUGACCAGAAAGGAGAGCGAGGCAAGGCGACCGCCGGCGGAUCCGAGUCGGGGAGCCUCGGCAAUUGGGCUGCCGGCAGUGCGUGCGCGCACAGGUGCCUCGGGCCGGCGGCGCCGGGAGCUAGCGCAGCCGCCUCUCGGCCUCAGCACUCUCACCAGCGUGCCGAAGACCCGGCUGCGGCCGAGCCUGGCCACCCCCAGCCCAAGCCGCGGGAGGAAGAGCCCAAGGAAAGGGCGCGAAGGGGGAAGGAGGGGAGGGGAGGGGAGGUGAGGGGAGGUGGGGGGGGGAAGAGACCCUACUCCUCCUCGCCGAGAUCUCCUCCCCGAGCCCUUCUGGUGGGAACCUUGGCGGGGCUCGCGCGCCCCCCCCUCCCUCCUCCCCACUCUGGGAGUCCGUCUCCCCUCUCCCCUUGCUCCCCCCCACCUCCCUUCUCUUCCCUCCCUCCCUGCCGCGUGCCUCGUCCCCUCCCCCUCGUCUCCCUCCCUCGCAGCGGCGGCAGCAGUAGCCGCUUCAGCAGAGCCGGAGAUGGGCAGAGAGCGCGCGCGGCGCAGCAGCUCCGGAUACGCCGCCCUCCCCGCCCGCAGCUCCCCGCUCCCCCGCCGCCGCUGUCGCCGCCUCGGCGUCCCCCGGCUCCAGUCUCGCUCCUAGGACAGCGCCGCUGCCACCGCUCGGCCCUGCCCGCCGCCUGCGCCGCGCAGCUCUCACUCGCUCCUGGAUGGCGCUUUCCACCCCGGACCGGUUUAGAAUGUAAUAAUUCAAGAAUUUUAUCAUCAAGUGGAAUAGCUUAACAACUGUCUAUGUGCUUCCCAUGAUAUGUUCUCUACAGUAAAAUAUGCUUUUUGAAAGGCUUAAUUCCAAACUGAUCAUAAAUGUGGACCAACAACCAGCACCCACACCCAAUGAAAUUAGUUAUUCACCAUAAUAUGGUAAGGCUAGAACAUAGCACUUGGUGACUUAAACAUCAAGGUAACAUUUAUACUGUUGGAAGGUACUUUCACUGCUAUGUUAUUAAAACAGUGGGGAUCCUAUUUAUACAUUUAUUUAUUUAUUUACAGACAUUUGGUUCAUUCAGGUUAUUUUAACAGCUUCAGUGAAGUUAAUAUAGUGGUAUGAAAACCUGACUCUAGCUACUAUUCCAAGUGAAAAUCUUGCUACUGAGUCUUGCUACAUCUUGGAGUCAAGCAGUAAUCCAAAUAAUGAGUAACAAGUCCCAGCAAUGUGGAGGCCAACUUCCCGGACCAGGAUGUUGUAUGUUUAUGACAUUUAGCAAACAUUAAUCUGGGCUCUUAGUUUGCUACCAUACUGUCCCCUAUAUUGAUUCAACCUGUAAAUAGCAUAACACAUUAUGGCAGCUAAGCAAAUAUGUUAAUAAGCCAUGAGAGGCAAAAUGCCAUUGAAGAUCUGUAUAUUCAGCUAUUUGGAGAACUUGUGUUUUCCACAAAUUAAACUGGAGAUGUCAUUUGAGAUUUUCUUCCCUUAAAAAUGCCAUUAUAAUUUGGAUUCCUUGCCAUUGAUGUAUUUCUGGGCUUAUAAAUAUAUGAUGUAAUUGCUAUAGUUAUAAUUUUGUGAAAUUUUGUUUACCAAUUAAUAGUGACUUCAAUCUGUGCUAUGAUCCCCAGGCAGAAAUAAAUGUAUAAAAGAUUUGAGCCUGUAUAUGUAAGCAGAAAUCUCUUCAAUCAUAUUUCCUAUAUUCAGUGUAAGUACUUCACUGAUUUAUCACUAGAAUUAUUCCUUGGAUAUGUAAAUAACGAUGUUCUAUUCAGGCCUAAUGAACUCUGUACUGUGAAUAUUUAAAAUAAAAAGAAUUCAAUUUAAAUGUGCAAUACUUACUGCUGGUUAUUUAUAAUGCUCACAUUCAAAAUC
ensembl:lncRNA